GACUUCCAAGAAAAGCGAGUGAAGCAGCCCGUACCGUAAACCGACACAGGUAGUCGAGGAGAGUAUCCUCAGGCGCUCGAGUGAUUCAUGGCUAAGGAACUAGGCAAAUUAGACGCGUAACUUCGGGAGAAGCGUCCCCACUCUAGUAGUGGGCGCAGUGAAAAGGCCCAGGCGACUGUUUAGCAAAAACACAGGACUCUGCGAAAUCGAAAGAUGAAGUAUAGGGUCUGACACCUGCCCGGUGCUGGAAGGUUAAGGA
rnacentral:rRNA from 1 species